rnacentral:lncRNA from 1 species
AGGCCUGAAAGGACUCGCUGAGCAUGACAAUCAAGUGGAAGAGGGUCUUGCAAUUGCACUUGUCCCUGAGGGGGGCCCUUGUCCUUGCCACCUUGGUUCUUGCUCAGGCUGCUGGGGCUGAGGCCUGAGGUCUGGGAUGGGGAGAGAGCCUUCAGUAUGUGGGCCGCCCUCCUGUCAGAACAGUGUUUGUCGUCUCCUGCUAUCUUACCCCCAUCUUCUUGCAGGGAGGAUGGGUG